GGCUGGUGUAGGCAGUGGGAUGGAUUCUACUACUGGUAGAAAUGAAGUGUCCCUUGGCCUGAAGAUGCCCUUGCAUGACUCAAUGCCUUCUCCGACCUUCGCCUGCCUCCUGCCCCUCAUCCAGGCCCAUCUGUGAAGGUUAAUGGUAGAGGAUAUCUGAUUUUAUUUCUCAGGAUGGGUACCUGACUGUUGAGAGACACUAUUUCACCGAGACUCUCAAACUCACAAGCAUGUGCCAGACUGGAGACGAAUGCCUGUCCCAGGGGGGCACUGCCUUGUGUUAAGCUUUCUCACAACAACCGCAUACAGGAGGCAGCACCAUGGACUGGAUACCUCAAUGGGGCAACCGGCACAUGAAGCUGGAUAACUGGAAAGAACCAGGUAAUGCUGAGUGUUCAUGGUCACCAAGGAGACGGGGCAGGAGAGUGCGGAUGAUCAAAUUCAACCCUACUUCCUCUCCUGGAGAAAUAACAUGAGGGGCGAUUUUCAGGGGCAAAGCCAGCAUGGCGGGCCAAACAAUGUCCCCCAAAGAUAUCAGGUCCUAUCCCUGGAAGCUGUGAAGAUUGCCUUACAUGGAAAAAGAUGUAAUUAAGUUAAGGAUCUUGCGCUGAAAGAUUAUCUUGGCCCAGAUGGGCCCUUGGUGCAAUCAGAGGGAGAUUGGGUAGAGACAGAAAAGAAGAGGAAGAAGGCCAUGUGUGAGUGGAAACAGAGAAGGAAGCCUAACUGAGAUGGAGAGAGGAUGUCUGUUGGAAGAAGAGCCAAGCAGAACCAGAGAGAAUAUGCUGCGAUGCUGGCUGUGAAGAUGGAGGAAGAGACCACCUGCCAAGGAAUGCAAGGAAGGCAGCUGUAGAUGCCUGAAAAGGCAGGGACGUGGAUUCUCUCCUAGGGCCUCAAGAGGGUGUGUGGACCUGCCAACACUUUGAUUUCAGCCCAUCGAUACUGAUUUCUAAUUUCUGACCUCCAGAACUGGAAGUGAUGUGUGUUGUUUUAAGCCUCCCAGUUUGUAGUCAUUUCUUCCGGCAGCUGUAGGAGAUGAAUAGAGAAAGCGAGGGAAAGAAGUAGCAGCGAUGAAAGAAGGAUGGGUGUGAGGUGCUUGAAACAGCCCUACAGAAAAUAGCAGAGACGGGGUGCUUGUCCUGGUUAUUUCAUCAUCUGGCUACUUCAGCUUGGUCCAACCAUUCAACCUCUUUGAGCCAGGAUUUCCUCACCUGGAAGAUAGGAUAAUAAGCUACCUGUCAUGUAGAGAGGCUCAUAAAGGCCAGCGGCUAUUAUCCUAAUAUUAAAGAAUGACAAAAUAUCACGGCCACGUGGCAGAGGCGUGUUCUAGCCCUGCUUCCCUGGAACACAAGAGCCAGGCUGAUGCAAGGCCUUCACAAGGUUGAAUUGGAGCGCCUUGUACUCAUUUCACAGGGGGGGAAAGGAGUCAAAAGGGACAGUUUCAUUAAUGUUAUAUUUUGUUCUUAUGCUUUCCUUUAGGCCUUUGGCCUUGCCCAAGGCAGAAAUCAGUUAGGAUGGCAUUGACUUAGUGCAACAUUGUAAUUUUGGUCAAUUUAAGUUUAAAAAGUAAAACAAUAUAUUCUGCCUAUAGGUGAUAUUCUGCAGACCACAAAGACCCUGAAGCUCUACAUCAGAACCAGUCUUUGAACCCCUGCUAGAACGUGCUGACCCACCUAGAGGCCAUUCUGCCACUUCCUGGUUAGGUGACCUUAGGGAAGCUCCUCACCUUCUCUCUGACUCAGUUACCUCAUCUGUUAAAUGGGGAUGCCCCCUUCCUCAAAGGGUACUUUUUGGGGUGGUUGAAAUAAUACAUGUAAAGUAGGUAUAGAAAGUAGGCUCAAAAAAUGGGCAGCUUCUUAGCAACAUUGUUAUUUGUUAUUAUUGUUGCCCAGCUCUUAAGGAAGAGAAUUAACUGCAGUAAAAGUUGAUCCCCUGUAUUCUUUAACCAGGUAACUACAGUUCUCACAAGAACUUGCAUUACUAGAACACUUAGUGAUUAAGAGAAAUGAGGUUAAAGAUUAACCUAACUUAGCACCCUCUUCACUGGCUGUGUGGUACCCGGCAGUCAUGGGAACAUUCCAAGCCUCUGUUUUCUCAUCUGUAAUAUGGCUGACCUUUGUGUUUCUCUCGUGUUGAGGAUUAUACAAGAUGAUUCAUCUAAAGGGCUUAGCCCUGCUGGCAUGUCGUAGGCACUUAGUUAAUAUUCAGCAAAGUAAAUUCCCUGGCUCUAAUUUCCUAUGAAAAAUGGAGGGGACUGGAGUUCCUUGGUGGCUCAGUGGGUUAAGGAUCUGGGGUUGUUACCGUUGUGGCUCUGGUCACUGCUGUGGUUCAGGUUUGAUCCUUGGCCUGGGAACGUCUAUGUGUUGUGGGCACAGCCAAAAAAAAAAAAAAAAAA
rnacentral:lncRNA from 1 species